rnacentral:rRNA from 1 species
GAUGAACGCUGGCGGCGUGCCUAAUACAUGCAAGUCGAGCGAACAGAUGAGUAUCUUGCUCCUCUGACGUUAGCGGCUGACGGGUGAGUAACACGUGUAUAACCUACCUAUAAUACUGGUAUAACUUCGGGAAACCGGAUCUAAUACCGGAUAAUAUAUUGAACCUCAUGGUUCAAUAGUUUAUUUCGGUUUUUCUUUCUCUUCUAGAUGUUUCCGCUCCGCAUUAGCUAGUUGGUAAGGUAACGGCUUACCAAGGCAACGAUUCGUAGCCGACCUGAGAGGGGGAUCGGCAACACUGGAACUGAGACACGGACCAGAAUACGACGGGAGGAAGCAGUAGGGAAUAUUACGCAAGGGGCGAAAGCAUGACGGAGCAACGCCGCGUGAGAGAUGAAGGUCUACGGAUCGUAAAACUCUGUUAUAAGGGAAGAAAAAAAGUGUAAGUAACUAUGCACGUAUUGACGGUAACUAAUCAGAAAGCAACGGCUAACUACGUG